ensembl:lncRNA
GGCACGGUGCAACACGGACUAGUGCAACACAGCGCGGUGCGACACGGCACGACGUGUUGUGACACGGCACGGUGCGACAUGGACUAGUGCAACACAGCACGGUGCAACACGGCACGACGUGUUGUGACAUGGCACGGUGCGACCCGGCACGACGUGUUGCGAUACGGCGCAGUGCGACACGGCACGACGUGUUGUGACACGGCACAGUGCGGUGUGACCCGGCACGAUGUGUUGUGAUAUGGCGCAGUGCAACAUGGACCCGUGCAAUGCGGCACAGUGCAACACAGCACGACAUGUGAUACAGCACGGUGCAACACGGCACGACACGUUGUGACCCGGCACAACACGCUGCAACACGGCAUGGUGCAACACGGACCAGUGCGACGCGGCACGGUGCAACACGGCACGACGUGUUGUGACACAGUGCGGUGCAACGCGACGUGAUCGGUGCAACACGUCGCGGUGUGACAUGGCACGGUGUGACACAGCACGGUGCAACACGUCGCGGUGUGACACGGCACGGUGUGACAUGGCACGGUGCAGCGUGGUGCGGUGUGACGUGUCGCGACGCGCUGCGGUGUCGCAGCCUCAGACUCAGCUUUGCGGCGCUCGGCUCGGCAGCUAAUGAUGUCACGGCUCCAGACUUGGUGGCUGAUGACGUCACGCCAUUCAGCUCAGCAGCUGAUGACGUCACAGCGUUCGGCUCGGCAGCUAAUGACGUCACGGCCUUGGACUCGUCAGGUGAUGAUGUCACAGCCUCGGGCUCGGCAACCGAUGACGUCACGGCCUUGGGCUUGUCGGCCGACAGCGCUGCAGCCUCGGGCUCGGCGCGCGAUGAUGUCAGCCUUGGCCUCCGUGGCUGAUGACGUCAUCGCGCGGAGCUUGGCGGCUGAUGACAUCGCAGCGUUCGGCUCAGUGGCUGACGGUGCCGCAGCCUUGGACUCGGCGGCUGAUGACGUCACAGCAUCCAGCUUGGCAGCUAACGAUGUCACAGCCUGGGACUCGGCAGCUGAUGACGUCACGGCCGCGGACUGUGAUGUCACAGCACUGGACUCCCCGUCUCAUGAUGUCACAGCGCCGGACUCGCCGUCCGAUGAUGUCACGGCAGCCGCUUCUCGAUGAUGUCAAGCCCGGGGGUCCCGCGGCCCCCGAUGAUGUAAACACUGUGGAUGCCCCCUGAUGACGUCAGCACCGGGGACUCCCGUCGCCCCGCCCCCCGAUGACGUCAUCGGCCGGGGCGGCGGCGUUGGCGUCGGUGAUGUCACAGCGGCGGGGAUGCCCCUCCCCCUGGCGGUGAUGAUGUCACAGGGCCCGGGCGCCCGCCUCACCGCGAUGUCACUGCCAAGACUCCGCCUCCCCGUGCCGCGGGGGGUGUGUGGGGUGGGCGGAGCCCUUUUUGAUGAUGU